rnacentral:rRNA from 1 species
CCCUUAGAUGAUUUGGGCUGCACGCGCGCUACACUGAACAGUUCAACAAGUCUUAACCUUGGCCGAUAGGUCUGGGUAAUCUUUGAACGCUGUUCGUGAUUGGGAUAGACCUUUGCAAUUAUGGGUCUUCAACGAGGAAUUCCUAGUAAACGCAAGUCAUCAGCUUGCAUUGAUUACGUCCCUGCCCUUUGUACACACCGCCCGUCGCACCUACCGAUUGAAUGGUCCGGUGAAAUCUCGGGACGGCGGCUUGGUCGCUUGCGUCCGACUGCUGAAACUUGAUUAAACCAUAUCAUUUAGAGGAAGGUGAAGUCGUAACA